GAUGAUAGAGAUUACAAUAACAACAACAAGAGCAACAAAGUGGCAUCAACUAUAGUGAAUCGAAAAUAGCCCCACACGGCUUCACUAUGUUACCACACAAACAACAAGAUUACAAAAUUAAAGAUAGUAACUUGACAUACAAUAUUCAAGAAUCUAAGAACCCUAACAACAUGAAAGGACCCUAAGAUUAAAGAAUAUUAUCACCAAGCUCUUACUUGGACCAAGAGGAACUCAAUGACCUCAAGAUCCUAGUUUCUAGCCAAGAUUCAACCCAAGUGUCACUCCAAUUGGGAAUUUUGGUUUUGAGCUUCUCCAAUGGAAGAGAAAAGUUCAAAAUAUUACAA
rnacentral:lncRNA from 1 species